rnacentral:miRNA from 1 species
UGAGGCAGGAGAAUUGCUUGAACCCAGGAGGUGGAGGUUGCAGUGAGCUGAGAUCGUGCCACUGUACCCCAGCCUGGGUGACAGAGUGAGACUCCAUCU